AGGGGUGUAGCUCAGUGGUAGAGCACAUGCUUAGCAUGUGCAAGGCCCUGAGUUUGAACCCCAACACCACUA
rnacentral:tRNA from 1 species